GGGGAAUAUUGCACAAUGGAGGAAACUCUGAUGCAGCAACGCCGCGUGAGUGAUGAAGGUCUUCGGAUUGUAAAGCUCUGUCUUCUGGGACGAUAAUGACGGUACCAGAGGAGGAAGCCACGGCUAACUACGUGCCAGCAGCCGCGGUAAUACGUAGGUAGCAAGCGUUGUCCGGAUUUACUGGGCGUAAAGGAUGUGUAGGCGGAUAUUUAAGUGAGAUGUGAAAUCCCCGGGCUUAACUUGGGGGCUGCAUUUCAAACUGGAUGUCUAGAGUGCAGUAGAGGAAAGCAGAAUUCCUAGUGCAGCGGUGAAAUGCGUAGAGAUUAGGAAGAAUACCAGUGGCGAAGGCGGCUCUCUGGUCUGUAACUGACGCUGAGGCGCGAAAGCGUGGGGAGCAAAC
rnacentral:rRNA from 1 species